CGGCAGGCCUAACACAUGCAAGUCGAGCGGUAGCACAAGAGAGCUUGCUCUCUGGGUGACGAGCGGCGGACGGGUGAGUAAUGUCUGGGAAACUGCCUGAUGGAGGGGGAUAACUACUGGAAACGGUAGCUAAUACCGCAUGACCUCGCAAGAGCAAAGUGGGGGACCUUCGGGCCUCACGCCAUCGGAUGUGCCCAGAUGGGAUUAGCUAGUAGGUGAGGUAAUGGCUCACCUAGGCGACGAUCCCUAGCUGGUCUGAGAGGAUGACCAGCCACACUGGAACUGAGACACGGUCCAGACUCCUACGGGAGG
rnacentral:rRNA from 1 species